rnacentral:rRNA from 1 species
AUUGAACGCUGGCGGCAGGCUUAACACAUGCAAGUCGAGCGGGGGAAGGUAGCUUGCUACCGGACCUAGCGGCGGACGGGUGAGUAAUGCUUAGGAAUCUGCCUAUUAGUGGGGGACAACAUCUCGAAAGGGAUGCUAAUACCGCAUACGUCCUACGGGAGAAAGCAGGGGAUCUUCGGACCUUGCGCUAAUAGAUGAGCCUAAGUCGGAUUAGCUAGUUAGUGGGGUAAAGGCCUACCAAGGCGACGAUCUGUAGCGGGUCUGAGAGGAUGAUCCGCCACACUGGGACUGAGACACGGCCCAGACUCCUACGGGAGGCAGCAGUGGGGAAAAUUGGACAAUGGGGGGAACCCUGAUCCAGCCAUGCCGCGUGUGUGAAGAAGGCCUUAUGGUUGUAAAGCACUUUAAGCGAGGAGGAGGCUACUCUAGUUAAUACCUAGGGAUAGUGGACGUUACUCGCAGAAUAAGCACCGGCUAACUCUGUGCCAGCAGCCGCCGUAA